rnacentral:rRNA from 1 species
AAUUUUGGACAAUGGGGGAAACCCUGAUCCAGCCAUCCCGCGUGUAGGAUGAAGGCCNNNGGGUUNUCAAGUAAUUUUUGCAGNGAANAAAAGGUACCUCCUAAUACGAGGUACUGCUGACGGUAUCUGCAGAAUAAGCACCGGCUAACUACGUGCCAGCAGCCGCGGUAAUACGUAGGGUGCAAGCGUUAAUCGGAAUUAAUGGGCGUAAAGCGUGUGUAGGCGGUUCGGAAAGAAAGAUGUGAAAUCCCAGGGGUCAACCUUGGAACUGCAUUUUUAACUGCCGAGCUAGAGUGUGUCAGAGGGGGGUAGAAUUCCACGUGUAGCAGUGAAAUGCGUAGAUAUGUGGAGGAAUACCGAUGGCGAAGACAGCCCCCUGGGAUAAUACUGACGCUCAGACACGAAAGCGUGGGGAGCAAAAAG